AACUUGGCAUUGUGGCACUGCAGUGGAGGGUGGAAUUUUUUGUCUCUCUGAAGCGAGGGCUUAAGGAAUAAUGAAAACUUCUGCUCAUACUUCUCAUGAAUGCUUUUUAUUUUCAAGGUCAACCAAAUGUUUUUUUAGGAAAGACUAAUGCACUUUUCUUCAAGCGAUACACCGUAAAAUGUUUCUUCCAGAUUAUCCUGUCUGUACAUGGGGGACGACUAGCUCUGGACAUUUUUAUUCUCUGCUUGCUGCUGCAAAUGAGCCAGGUCCUGGUGCCAGACACCCCUGCCCCAUGUGCUCAGUCCAUCCGCGCUUCCUGAGGUGGCAGAGGAGCAGGAG
rnacentral:lncRNA from 1 species